UACGAAGGGGGCUAGCGUUGCUCGGAUUGACUGGGCGUAAAGGGCGCGUAGGCGGUUCGUACAGUCAGACGUGAAAUUCCUGGGCUCAACCUGGGGGCUGCGUUUGAUACGUGCGGACUUGAGUGCGGAAGAGGGUCGUGGAAUUCCCAGUGUAGAGGUGAAAUUCGUAGAUAUCGGGAGGAACACCAGUGGCGAAGGCGGCUCUCUGGGCAGGUACCGACGCUGAGAUGCGAAAGCGUGGGAAGCAAACAGG
rnacentral:rRNA from 1 species